rnacentral:rRNA from 1 species
GACGAACGCUGGCGGCGCGCUUAACACAUGCAAGUCGAGCGAGAACCGGCCCUUCGGGGCCGGGGAAAGCGGCGAACGGGUGAGUAUCACGUGGGUAAUCUGCCCUCGGUAUCGGGAUAGCCCGGGGAAACCCGGAUUAAUACCGAAUGGCCCUUCGGCUCCUCGGAGCUGACGGAAAAGGUAGCUUCGGCCUCCGACCGAGGAUGAGCCCGCGGCGGAUUAGCUUGUUGGUGGGGUAACGGCCUACCAAGGCGACGAUCCGUAGCUGGUCUGAGAGGACGAUCAGCCACACUGGGACUGAGACACGGCCCAGACUCCUACGGGAGGCAGCAGUGGGGAAUCUUGCGCAAUGGGCGAAAGCCUGACGCAGCGACGCCGCGUGCGGGAAGAAGGCCUUCGGGUUGUAAACCGCUUUCAGGAGAGACGAAGCCACUCGGGUUAAUAGCCCAGAGGGUGACGGUACCUCCAGAAGAAGCCCCGGCUAACUACGUGCCAGCCGCCGCCGUAAGAC